GACUGGUGUCCGGGGCACCCGAUGCUGAGAGAAAUGGUCACCAUGAAGGCAGAGUUCACAAGGACUCAGAGGGAAAUUGGAUUUUCUUGGGAAAUGAGCUAGAAGACGGCCAUUUAAGCAGCAGCAGCAGCAUCUAGUGGUACUGGGUCUUCAAGCAUGAAAGCUCAGCAAAGACAGAAGAGGAGACUAGAGAAUGACAGCCUCUAGGUUCCAGAAACAGACAGUCAGUACCAGGUCUGCGCUACUUCUAAGGACCAUCAUUCUACCAGGGGCCUCCUCCCAGCUUGUGUGGGCACCUCUGGGAAUGACUCGACCAUCAGGCAACA